rnacentral:tRNA from 1 species
GGUGAGAUGUCCGAGAGGCUGAAGGAGCACGCCUGGAAAGUGUGUAUACGGCAACGUAUCGAGGGUUCGAAUCCCUCUCUCACCUCCA